UUAUCUAUCUUGGACUUAAUAAAAUAGUUAUCUAUCCUGGACUUAAUAAAAUAGUUAUCUAUCCUGGACUUAAUAAAAUAGUUAUCUAUCCUGGACUUAAUAAAAUAGUUAUGUAUCGUGGAUUUAAUAAAAUAGUUAUCUAUCCUUGCAAUAUUGUGGACAGCCUGAGAGUAUUUUUUUCAAGAGUGCGCAUGACUGAGUGUAUGCUUUUGUGACGGAGGGGGAGAGAAAGACAGACGAGGGGAGAGUUCUGUUCUUUCACUGCUCCAUCCGGGAAUUUUAGAAUUAGCAUUGACAACCGAAGCGCAACUUUUCCCCAGGCAAAGCGAAAUCAAGCCGCGCACUCGGACAAAAUAUAGUCCCCGCUUAUUCAACUAAAAAUUAUCCAAAGAAAAAUAAAAUCAACCGUUUGGAGAGGAUGCGUCGACGCGGCGUUAUUUUGUGGAGUGGAUCUGUCCAGGUGCUGAAACCUUUCCCCCGUGUUUAGAGCACUUUGCUCAGCGGCGUAAAGUGAGUGAUGAGCCCUCUACACAGCAAAGAGGCAAGAACUUGCUUUGCAGCCUGAGUAGUUCUUCUUUCGAUUGUUAUUGUCGCUUUAAAAAAUAUAUAUAUUUUAAUUCACUUAAACUUCACAUUGAUUACAUCGAAAGUGGUAUAAAAGUGUUUUUGAAGUCGGGAACAUGGAACUACAAUGCCUGCAAGAGGCGUUGAAAGUCGACAUCCAAUGUCAUCAGAAACUAGUUGCACAGAUGAAGCAAAACCCGCAGGAUGGAGAGCUUAAGAAACAACUACACGAAAGACACGACAGAAUAACAGCCCUAAGCGAAAAACAAGUAAGAAACACCCCCAAAAAGCAUAUGUUUUGCUUUAUCAUACAUUAUUGUAGGCUAUAAUCAUCAUUCAUGUCACGGCAUAGCCUUGUAUUGUGUGAGACCGUUAUGUUCAGGACAAUGUGCUGUUUUUUUUUUAAAAGGUUUCAAAGUAACUGCAUUGAUUUAGUCUUUGUUCCCCCCCCUUAAAGUCGUUGUGUUGCUGAAUUCCUCGGCGUAUCUGGUGAUUCUGUCCGGAGACUCUUUUAAGUUGUAUAUCAUGAAAUGUUGAAAAAUGUAGCGUCCAUUUUGAGUAAGUCGACAUGUUUUCCAGGAGAGUAAGAAAGGAGAUGCUCAAGUAUCCGGUCUGCACUUUUUUUUUUUUUUACACAUCAAGCAUCCCGUUUUUACUACUCUGACUAUUCGUAGAUAUUGAUCGCCGAAUGAAUACGUGUUUUUUUGUUGCUUCUAAAUGGACUUUAUUUGUUACUUUAUAGCCAGUCGUGGGGUAUUAUUUAUUGUUGGUCACAUGACGGGAAAGGUUGCUUUUGAUUCGAUCACAGCUUACACUUUCAUUUUUUUUCAUUUUUUUACUACAUCUAGUAUCAAAUUGGCCAAGAUUAACUUCCAUCUUGUAAUAAGUGAUUUAAACUUAUUUGUAUGUAUUCCUAACGAGUAGUUUGAAGGGUAAAGGGGAAACACUAAAGUACAGCUCUUCCGCCCUGGAAGAGCACGGGAGCUAUUUCUUCAGCACCACAGAACAGAUGCCGUUGAACCUCUUAAAGUCACAACACUGCCUGGCUCACUAUAUGAAGUUACCGAAGCCACGAAGGAACACAAAACAGACAUAUAAUAUCUAAAUAUAUAUUUUAGAAGUCAAAUCAAUCGAUGUUGAAUCAUUUUAGUUCAUUGUAAAGGUUUGUUUUGCGUUAGCCUAAGUUAGAUCGAGCCUGUUUCUUCAGGAAUGCAUGUUUCAGCACUUGAGCACCGAACAGCGCCUUGAUUCGGUUUCACCAUUCGCUGUUGAACGGUCCCCGUACAGCAAAAGAGAAACUCAUUUAGGCAGCUAAUGCAGUGGAAAAAAUGCUUAUAUUUUCCACGUAGUUCGUUAAACUAUUUACACGAGGCUGAUCUUUCUCCCGUGUAUGUAUUUAUUGUAGUGUUUUUUCGUAAAGCGCCUUAGUUCGGUAGUGGAUGCUUCCAUUUUGUGCCGAGAAGGGGUGUUGGUUUCUUCCUAACAUGGAGAAAAAGUCUGCGGAGUUUCUCGGAGGGGGGGAUGGGCCCCAUUCAUGCCGAACAUUACCAUUUUGAUUGCUUUGAUGCUGUUUUUAGAGGAGGGGGAGGGGAGAGAGAGAGAGUCCGAGUCAGCAGCGACACAGCCUGGGAUGUUUAAUCACUGUUUAGCGCCGAUUCUCCUUGUUUUAUUAGCGGAAUAUGACCUCUAGUUUACUCUGCUCUAGCGAUGCUUUCUGCUACCAGAGAACAUCUGCCUUUACACCGUUAUAUAUUGUUGUUGUUGUUGACAUUACAGAUCACCUGAAGAAAAGGCCUUUGUUUACUUUUGUUUAAGUCAAAUUUGUGAUGUUAAAAAAUAGCUUUUGUUAGGUCAACAUAUUUGUAAUAUUUAGCCUAUUCAGUUAGCAUAUGAUUUGUAAUAUUUAGCCUAUUCAGUUAGCAUAUGAUUUACUUAUUUCUUUCUUUCUUUCUCUUGAAUUAAAAGUGUAUUUUGCUCGAGUGGCUUUUGUUAUAUAAAAAAACGACAUAAAACGAAUAAGUAGCAUCCUCAAUGGAAAAGGCUACUUAACAUAGUGGCUUUAUAGUCAUCCAGACAUUAUAAUGCACAUGCCAAUGUUUUUGUACGCCUCACCAAAUGUGUAUUAUAGUUGACAUCAUACUACGGCACGUUGAAAAGCGGAUACUCCAUUGACAACCUCUCCUGACGGUGGCUAGUAAACACUAGUCCCUCUAUUUCAACCAAACUACUCUUCAAACACGAGUCAAAAAGUAUACGGUAUGCAUCAUAUGUCUAUGAGGAUGUAGGCCUGUGUGUGUUGCUAUCCUGGUUUUGUUGAAGGACGGUGUGAAUACAGAGAGGAGCCGUUUGAAUAGGGCUCUGGUCUAAAGUAGUGCACUAUAUAGGGAAUAGGGCCCUGGUCUAAAGUAGUGCACUAUAUAGUGAAUAGGGCCCUGGUCUAAAGUAGUGCACUAUAUAGGGAAUAGGGCUCUGGUCUAUAGUAGUGUACUAUAUAGGGAAUAGGGCCCUGGUCUAAAGUAGUGUACUAUAUAGGGAAUAGUGCUCUGGUCUAUAGUAGUGUACUAUUUAGGGAAUAGGGCCCUGGUCUAAAGUAGUGUACUAUAUAGGGAAUAGUGCUCUGGUCUAAAGUAGUGUACUAUAUAGGGAAUAGUGCCCUGGUCUAAAGUAGUGCACUAUAUAGGGAAUAGUGCUCUGGUCUAAAGUAGUGUACUAUAUAGGGAAUAGUGCCCUGGUCUAUAGUAGUGUACUAUAUAGGGAAUAGGGCCCUGGUCUAAAGUAGUGUACUAUAUAGGGAAUAGUGCUCUGGUCUAAAGUAGUGUACUAUAUAGGGAAUAGUGCUCUGGUCUAAAGUAGUGUACUAUAUAGGGAAUAGGGCUCUGGUAUAUAGUAGUGUACUAUAUAGGGAAUAGGGCUCUGGUCUAAAGUAGUGCACCAUAUAGGGAAUAGGGCUCUGGUCUAAAGUAGUGUACUAUAUAGAGAGUAGCUCUACUACACUACAUUAAUGUGUAUGAUUGUAAUCAGUCUGACUGUAAUGUAGACCUCCUGACUUCAAUAGACCACCGCUCUGUCAGACUGACUGUAAUGUAGACCUCCUGACUUCAAUAGACCACCGCUCUGUCAGACUGACUGUAAUGUAGACCUCCUGACUCCAAUAGACCACCGCUCUGUCAGUCUGACUGUAAUGUAGACCUCCUGACUCCAAUGGACCACCGCUCUGUCAGUCUGACUGUAAUGUAGACCUCCUGAUUUCAAUGGACCACCACUCUGUCAGUCUGACUGUAAUGUAGACCUCCUGUCUUCAAUAGACCACCACUCUGUCAGACUGACUGUAAUGUAGACCUCCUGACUCCAAUGGACCACCACUCUGUCAGUCUGACUGUAAUGUAGACCACCUGUCUUCAAUAGACCACCACUCUGUCAGUCUGACUGUAAAGUAGGUCUACUUUGAAAAGCAGCUUUGAUAGGCCAUUAUUUCUCAUGUUUCACUCUAUGUCUCAAUGUGCUGAUCAUUAAGUCAAGUCCUGGUGGUUGUUAGUCUGCAUGGAGAUGACUGGUACCAGUUAUUUAUCUGUUUCCUGUUUUACCAAGGCUGCUGUCAGGAGGAGCAGGAAGGUACCAGUUAUUUAUCUGUUUCCUGUUUUACCAAGGCUGCUGUCAGGAGGAGCAGGAAGGUACCAGUUAUUUAUCUGUUUCCUGUUUUACCAAGGCUGCUGUCAGGAGGAGCAGGAAGGUACCAGUUAUUUAUCUGUUUCCUGUUUUACCAAGGCUGCUGUCAGGAGGAGCAGGAAGGUACCAGUUAUUUAUCUGUUUCCUGUUUUACCAAGGCUGCUGUCAGGAGGAGGUACCAGUUAUUUAUCUGUUUCCUG